GUCCGCGCCCCCACCCGAAAGGACGACGUCUCCCCCCCCAAGGGGAAUUCCGCACUAAGGCCGUAAUAGGGGCUUUUCCCCCCCCCCCCUUUUUUUUUUUUUUUUUUUUUGAGACGGAGUCCCGCUCUUCCUGCUCAGUCGCCCAGGCUGGAGUGCAGUGGCGCUAUCUUCUCGGCUCACUGCAACCUCCACCUCCCAGGUUCAAGUGAUUCUUCUGCCUCAGCCUCCCAAGUAGGUGGGAUUACAGGCGUCCGCCGUCAUGCCUGGCGAAUUUUUGUACUUUUGGUAGAGAUGGGGUUUCUUCAUGUUGGCCAGGCUGGUCUUGAACUCCUGAGUCACCACUCUUUAAUGCCGCUGUUCCCCUCCUGUUCCUUCUGUGUCGGUCUCCGAACGCCCGGCGCAAGGCACUACUCGGAAUCGGAGAGGGAGAGAGCCGCGAGACCCAGAGAAAAAGAGGGCUGAAGAGCGCGUGAGACGUCAAGGUUCUGUAAUCCAAGAUGUCUAUAAAGAACUGGGAUAUCAAUAGGAAAUCAUCUUCAUCCAGACUUAUUCCUGAGUGGAAGAACUUGAAGUUCCUCAUAAAUAAGAUCCUGAAGGACAUAAAGAUUGAUGAAGAACCAAAGAAUGAUGUGGUUCUACUAAGUGACUGGCCUGAGACUCUAUACCGGGAGUCUCACCAUCGCCAGAACAAACCUUUUGUCUGCUUCUACUACUCCAUCAAGAUCAACUGUUUUAUCUCCUUAAACUGGAUGGAACCUGGUGGAAAAAUGCAGGCAGUACUUUGGAUACAGAAAAAGGGUACAGAAAUGAAAGGAAUGGUAGAGAAGAUGAGGCUUCGCGUGAUGGAUCAGCUGCCGCCCAUCCAAGCAAUGGUCCACACAGGUUCCUAC
rnacentral:lncRNA from 1 species